AGCUAGGUCUUGGUCACCGUGGUAAAAGCCGUCCAAGCACCCUCUUGGCAGUGUGAUUGGAGACUUUUACCGUGGUCUGAGAUCAGUCAUAC
rnacentral:pre_miRNA from 1 species